GGGCCCUUUAUUUAGGCGAUACGAGGCUAGGCUGAUGCGCCGUUUCCCCGGAUCUCGGCGGGAGUGACUUUGGACCAGGAGAAAGCCCCACGUGUAGCCCUCAGGGCACAGGAGAUGCUCAGAGAACGCGCCGUCCACCCUGCCCUCGGUCUACAGCGUCCCCGGCCACUCCGGGCGUUUAGGACCGCGGGAAACUGAAGGCGCUUUGAAACUCCCAGGUGGGGAAGAUCCUCUGGAGAAGAAAAUGGCAACCCACUCCAGUUUUGUUACCUGGAUAAUCCCAUGGACAGAGGACCCUGACAGGCUACAAUCCGUGGGGUCACAAGAAGUUGGACAGGACUGAGCAACUAACGCUACUACUACUCCCUGCUGCCGGAGACUAAUCUUCAAUCUGGAAGGGUGAAGGAAACACGGUUAAGAGUGAACUUUACAUGUAUGCAGAUCUCCAGUUCCAUAUACAUUACAUUCCAAACCACUUAAAGAUCUUAAAAUGCUUCAUGAUGCUAUUUCAGUAGCACUUAGAGCAAUCUCGAAGAAUGAGACGGUCAUCAGAAAGCUGGAGCAAUGCAAUCACUAUUUGAAUUUUUUUAAAACCUUUUUAUUGUUGAAAAUUUCAAACAUAUUUGAAGAUAGAAUAAUAUAACAAAAUCCCUUAAACGUGUUACACAGCAUCAGCAAUUAUCCACUCCUGUACUAGACCCCAUUGCCUAUAAUGUAGCUUUUGGGUUGGCCAAAAAGUUUAUUCAGGUUUUACCAUAACCUGUUAGGAAAAACCCAAACAGAGUUUUUGGCCAACCCACCACUAUACUCUAUUGCCUACAAUGUAUCUACUUUUUCCAUCUUGUGAACUUUUGAAGUGAAUCCCGAACAUAUUAUUUUCAUCUCUCCAUUUCAGUAUAUGUCUCUGAAAGACGUUAAUAAUGUAAUGAAAAUGUCAAUAUUCUAGCUAAAAAGUUGAACAAUUUUAAAAUACUAUCAAUAUCCAGUGAGCAUGCAAAUUUCCCAUUAUCCCAUAAAUGCUAUAAAUGGAUUGAUUUUAUAGAUUAUAAGAAUUAUAAUGCAAAUAAAUCUGUAUGUGACAGAGA